GAUGAAUUCCUAACAAAAAUACUAUUUUACAUCAGAAUCUAAAAAAAAAUCAAAUCUUUCAAAUUUUUGAUAGUUUUGAAGCAAACUUUUAGAUUUCUUUGUCCCUCAAGCAUAUCACAUCAAGAUUAAAUCUUGACCCACUUCCAUAUUUGAAGCCCUUCCAUAAGCUCCAAUACUCAUCCAAAAUCUCAUAAAUCUAAAGCUAAUUAGAGUUAACCAC
rnacentral:lncRNA from 1 species